AGCCAUUACAAUGAGCCCAUUCUCCUAUUGCUCCUCCCACCAGCCUUCUCUUGUAUACUUUACAACUAUAUUGAUUUGAAUUGUAUUGUAUUGACGUUUAAUAUAAUAUAGUGUUGAACAUGCUGGCUUUUUCAAUGGACUCACAGAUUGACUUGAAUAUGAUAGUAUCAAUGCUGAACUUAGUGUAAUGAUGAUGGUGAAGUGUUACCUUCAGUUAGAUAUAACAGCUGGUGUCUUAUUCUGUCACUCUGUUCUAUGACCCUCUCUCUGGAUCACUUUGUCUGUCGUCUCACUGGAUCACUUUGUCUGUCGUCUCUGGAUCACUUUGUCUGUCGUCUCUCUGGAUCACUCUCUGUCGUCUCUCUGGAUCACUCUCUGUCGUCUCUCUGGAUCACUUUGUCGUCUCUCUGGAUCACUCUCUGUCGUCUCUCUGGAUCACUUUGUCUGUCGUCUCUCUGGAUCACUUUGUCUGUCGUCUCACUGGAUCACUUUGUCUGUCGUCUCUGGAUCACUUUGUCUGUCGUCUCUCUGGAUCACUCUCUGUCGUCUCUCUGGAUCACUCUCUGUCGUCUCUCUGGAUCACUCUCUGUCGUCUCUCUGGAUCACUUUGUCUGUCGUCUCUCUGGAUCACUUUGUCUGUCGUCUCUCUGGAUCACUUUGUCUGUCGUCUCUCUGGAUCACUCUCUGUCGGCUCACUGGAUCACUUUGUCUGUCGUCUCUCUGGAUCACUUUGUCUGUCGUCUCUCUGGAUCACUUUGUCUGUCGUCUCUCUGGAUCACUUUGUCUGUCGUCUCUCUGGAUCACUCUCUGUCGUCUCUCUGGAUCACUUUGUCGUCUCUCUGGAUCACUUUGUCUGUCGUCUCUCUCCGUCUUUCCGUGUCUCUAUAUCUAUAUCACUGUCACUGUCUAUCUCUGUCUUUCUCUGUGUCAGACCAGCUCUGUCUGGAGAUGAAAGCUUCUCUCUUAAAAUAUCAAUCAGAUACCAGUUUGUUCGCAUGCCAUUUAUCUCACAUGAUACAUUCUGUUUGUGAAGUGUGGAGUCAGUUGUAUUCAGUGUCUCUCUCUCUCUGUCUGUGUGUGUGUGAAAGAGAGAGAGAGAGAGAGACAUGGUGAGG
ensembl:lncRNA